rnacentral:rRNA from 1 species
CAGCCGCCGCGGUAAAACGUAGGGCGCAAGCGUUGUCCGGAAUUAUUGGGCGUAAAGAGCUCGUAGGCGGUCUGUCGCGUCUGGUGUGAAAUCCCGAGGCUCAACCUCGGGCUUGCAUCGGGUACGGGCAGACUAGAGUGCGGUAGGGGAGACUGGAAUUCCUGGUGUAGCGGUGGAAUGCGCAGAUAUCAGGAGGAACACCGAUGGCGAAGGCAGGUCUCUGGGCCGCAACUGACGCUGAGGAGCGAAAGCAUGGGGAGCGAACAGGAUUAGAUACCCGUGUAGUCCCUGUCUCUUAUAC